GUCAUACAAAUUAGGGUCCUUCAUAAGGUGCCGGUGUGUGGGAGGAUAAGGAUAAAGUUUUAAGUUUAAAUUCAAAUCUUUUGAAUCCAACUUAAAACAAACGUAAUCCAAUCCAAAGAGGGCGACAAAAAUGGUGUUAGCUUCUGAUUUUCUCAUGCACAAACUGGUUUUGUGAGCUAAGAAAAGGCAUGAGUCUUUAUAGGUGGCGCAAGGGAGAGAGUCCCAUUCAUUUGGGACUCUAGAAUUUAACCAAUUAGAUUUCUUACAAACU
rnacentral:lncRNA from 1 species